UCUCCCGCUUCAACUCCCUGAGCGGGCGCCUUGCUUCUGGGUAAGGCAUUUUGCCCCCGGCUAUCCCUUUGCCGGGGGCUUUUUAU
rnacentral:ncRNA from 1 species